GAAAUGCGAUAAGUAAUGUGAAUUGCAGAAUUCAAUGUAUCAUCGAAUCUUUGAACGCACCUUGCGCUCCUUGGUAUUCCUUGGAGCAUGCCUGUUUGAGUAUCAUGAAAUCUUCAAAGUAAAUCUUUUGUUAACUCAAUUGGUUUCUACUUUGGUAUUGGAGGUCUUUGCAGCUUCACACCUGCUCCUCUUUGUUCAUUAGCUGGAUCUCAGUGUUAUGCUUGGUUCCACUCGGCGUGAUAAGUUAUCUAUCGCUGAGGACACUGUAAAAGGUGGCCAAGGUAAAUGCAGAUGAACCGCUUCUAAUAGUCCAUUGACUUGGACAAUACUUUUAUGAUCUGAUCUCAAAUCAGGUAGGACUACCCGCUGAACUUAAGC
rnacentral:misc_RNA from 1 species